rnacentral:ncRNA from 1 species
UUGCUAGUUGAGUCCUAUGACUAUGUCAGGAUCACACCAAACCUUUUAAAAAAAAAUUUAUCCUUCGAUGUCGGCUCUUUCUAUCAAUGUGAAACGAAAUUCACUAAGCGUUGAUUGUCACCCAUGCAAGGGUACGUGAGCUAGGAUUAGACCGUCGUGAGAUAGGGUAAAACUAACCCUACUAAUGACAUGUUUUAAUUACAGCAUUCCUGCGUAGUACGAGAGGAACCGCAGGUACGGACUCAUGUCACAAUACUUGUUCGAAUGAACAGUGCUAUGACGGUACGCCCUUUGGAUUAUGCCUGACUUGUCAUGUUCUGUAUAACACUUGUCAAUGUUCUGUA